GGCCUGAUGGUCUAGUAGUAUGAUUCCUUCUUAGGGUGUUCACCGUUUGGAGGAGGUCCCGGGUUCAAUUCCCGGUUAGGCCC
rnacentral:tRNA from 1 species